UGUCUUCUUAAUAUGUUUGCCACUAAAGUAAACUUUUUCUUUUUGUAAAUUAAGAUGCAGUAGUGAUUAAAGGGGCCACUAGUAGGAAGAGCAAAUCUUUGCAAAAAUGGUAUGAAUAAUGGUGAGUCAGCUAUUGCUAUAAAAAUUUACUUAUGUAAGACAACUUUUUUGUUUUAUUUUUUUUUAGGAUGCUAACAGUUUUGCUUCUCAAGAAGAGUCAAUCAUAGCUCCAAGAGAGCCCACAUCUCAAUCAACAAUGCAUGAUAAGGAUGCACGUAAUUUCUUGAACCUCAACGCGACUGACUAUUUCUCCAUUCAGUCAACACAAAAUUUGUGUAAAUGGUUUGACAAUGGAUAGCACGCCGACACUCAAUAGUAGUACUUGGAUUAAUUGGCAUCCUCAAGAGGUACCGUAUCUUUUCGUGGGGAACAUUUUGUAAGUUAAUUCCAUCGUCAAUGCUCUAAUCAGCGAGAAAUGGACAUCACCCCACAUUAUUUUCCUUAUAUUGUUAUUAAUGGUGGACUUCGUACUGAAUUAGUGGACUUCUUGUUAUUAAUGGGUUUGCGAAACUCUCCUGGCCCAGCGUUUUGGGGUUUUAGAGCCUUCAUUUUAUCGUAUGGGUGAAGGAUGUGACAAUUGAUUUUUUGCAUUUUAUAUCUUCGUUUGUUUGGCUAAGUGUUUGGGGGUUUUGAUUCGUGCAAUUUGCAAACUUGGUAUUUUUAUUUAAACAUCUCUCAAAUAAAAACAAGUGCAUCAGAUUUUCAGCGUGUAGCUUCUUGUACAGAGAGCGUGAGGCGAUAGGCUUCAGAACUCAGAAGAG